AAGUCGUAACAAGGUUUCCGUAGGUGAACCUGCGGAAGGAUCAUUAUCGAGAUGGGGUCCUCCGGGGCCCGACCUCCAACCCUGUGUCUACGCAUCUUGUUGCCUCGGCGGGGCGUUGCCGCUCCCCGCGAGCAGGCACCGUCGGCCCCGCGGCCGUCGAGCCCCCGCCCGAGGAGAACACCCAAACCCCUCUUGAACCGGCAGUCUGAGUGAAAACAAAAUACUUCAAAACUUUCAACAACGGAUCUCUUGGUUCUGGCAUCGAUGAAGAACGCAGCGAAAUGCGAUAAGUAAUGUGAAUUGCAGAAUUCAGUGAAUCAUCGAAUCUUUGAACGCACAUUGCGCCCCUUGGUAUUCCGAGGGGCAUGCCUGUUCGAGCGUCAUUAAAGGAAAAUCAAGCCCCGGCUUGGGAUUGAGCGUCGCCCCCGCAGCGGGCGCGCUCCAAAGACCUCGGCGGCGGCCCAGAGGCCUCAAGCGUAGUAGAAACAUCUCCCCGCUUGCGGAGGCCCCCGGACCGCCCGCUCCCAGACACCCCCAACACCAGACGUUGACCUCGGAUCAGGUAGGGAUACCCGCUGAACUUAA
rnacentral:rRNA from 1 species